AUUCCAGCUCCAAUAGCGUAUAUCUAAGUUGUUGCAGUUAAAAAGCUCGUAGUUGGAUCUUGGGUCGUAAGGGUCGGUCCGCCUACUCGGUGUGCACCUGCCCUUCCGUCCCUUUUGUCGGCGGCGUGCUCCUGGCCUUAAUUGGCUGGGUCGCGGUUCCGGCGCUGUUACUUUGAAAAAAUUAGAGUGCUCAAAGCAAGCUUAUGCUCUGAAUACAUUAGCAUGGAAUAACGUGAUAGGAGUCUGGUCCUAUUGUGUUGGCCUUCGGGACCGGAGUAAUGAUUAAUAGGGACUGUCGGGGGCAUUCGUAUUUCAUUGUCAGAGGUGAAAUUCUUGGAUUUAUGAAAGACGGACCACUGCGAAAGCACUUGCCAAGGAUGUUUUCAUCG
rnacentral:rRNA from 1 species